UUCACAAGCCUCGCACUUCCGGCCUAAGAUAUUUGAGUACGCAGCCCUUGAGGACCGUUGAGGCUGCGUACUUUAAGGCUGCAGACCCUGAAUUGGGAUACAGCCAGAGCCUGCUGGGACUUAAGACCUCGUUUUAAUUCUUCCACUUUCUGUAGUCUUUGUUCCCUGUCCGUAUUCUUGUCUUUGUGUUUCUUAAACGUUUCAUAGUGCCUUCUUAGAUUAUAUUCUUUCAUUACAGCCACACUUUCUCCACAGAGAAGACAGGUUUGCCUUUUACCUCCGUGAACAUGUACUCUGCCUCCCACCUGGCUUGAAAUUCCCUGUUCUCACUGUCCACCUUCCGUUUAGCCAUUAUUGGGGAGGGGGGUUGCUGAAAGUUGACAUCUGCUCUUAAUGCUGAUGAAUAUUGAAUGAAUAAUGAAGCCGAGCCCCGCUUGCGGCACUGCAGUGAGUUCGCAGGCUUCCGUUGCAUUGUGGGAAAUGGAGUAUUGGUGCGUGCAAAACCCCAGCAGGCGGCUGUGACCUGCGGGCCGAUUCUAAUACUAAUCAAAUAUUUAUGCUGUACCUAUUUACUUGCAUUGUAUAGAUAUAUUCACGUCAUCAAAAUAUGUCACAUGACUUACAAGGUUUAGAUUGUUGUGCAACAUUGUCACAUUCUGAUAUUUAUUCAGUGGUUUUAUGGUGGUCAAUGCUAUGUGUAUUGUUUUUAAUCUUUAAAUAUUCUCCUUUAUAAGUGCCAAACUCUUCAUGCAAAGCUUCUAUGUCUGGUUAUGCUAAAGUAAGUAUUUUGCUUCUGCUUUGUGCCACCAAGAAAUGUCAUUCUUUCUUAAUAAAGUGUUAAGACUUGAUCAUCUAAGUUAUCCUAAGUUCUUCCUUCUUUCCUUUAGUUUACCAGUAAUACUCUGUCUGUAACAACAUUGUUGACUUUGUAUGUAUUUAUUUAUUUAUUUAAAGGGUUGUGAUGCUGAAUAUGUAACUAAUGUUUGCUGAGAAUUUAGGUAGGUGCAUACUCAAAUGUGUUUUUUAAAAACAAUUUAUAUUGAAACACUCUUUUUAUGUGAUUGCAACCACAGGUCGAGAUAGCACAUGCUACAGGGGUAAAAAUUCUUAAACAUCAGUGGGCUGCUGCUCUUCAGGCCCAAACACCCACUUGAAUGGUGCGUGUUCUUCUGAUGGCCGCCUUCCCAUUUGAUCCAGAGCAAUUUAAAAGGACACAGAAAAAAAGACAUCAGCGCAGAGCAAAGAACGGCCCUUGAUAAAGAAACCAUGGCAGCCAUAUGUAUGGCAGUAAGGAAGAGGUUCCCCAAUGUAUCCAGAGGGGAUUGCAGUGAAUUUAAAGCCUGGGGAACUCAGACACUUAAAAUACAUUUUAAGUAUGUUUUAUGUUCAUACACACCCACAUAUUAUAUAUUUCAAAAUAUAUUUUUUUACCGUAUGGGAAGAUAGUGCCUGUAAACCAGCCUUCCAGAUACACCCACACCCACACACACCUGCAAGCAGGGAAACCAGGGACAACCACCCAAUACAUCAAAUAUACAUAUAACAAAUAAUAUAAGUCCAAAACUGCUCAUGGACCCUGGGUCCCUCAGAGCCAGGUCCCCUACAAAUUAUCCCCAUUUAUUUCUGGGGGUGACUUUCCCCUGCUGGCCCAUCUUCUCCAGAAUUGUCCUGAUCACACACCAAAAAUAAGAGGAGAGAGAAAACCAUGGCAACUAUGUUAAUCCCUAAAUCCAAAGGUUUUCACAGCAGAACACCAGAGGAAUACCGUCUGGACAUCACAGGUUCUGUACAGCAUGAGGGUUAAUAAAACCAUACUCAGAUGAACAUAAUGUGUAAUAUUGAUUUAUUCUUGUACUUCCAUGCCACAGUGGCAGAAUUUUCUUCUCUCAGUUUGAUAAACUGAGCUGGUCAUUGUUCCCUAAAACAUAUCACAAAAAGGUUAAUUAAAAAAACAUAAAAAAUUAGCUGUAUGUAAUGUGAGAUUAUAAUAUUAUCUUAUGCCAUGUUAUACCCCUGAUUAAUGAUUGUAAAAUUGUUAUGUAGUUUUAGUUUGCGUUAUUCUCCUGAAUUAGAAGAAGGUGAUAACUAUUACAUUUGUUAAACUGAUUUGUAUUACAUUAGACUGCUGAUUUAUUGUGAAUGGAUGAUAUUGUUUUAUGAUGCACUAUACUGCUGAGUUAAGAAGAGAAUAUUGUGUGCAGAGAGUCAGGGCCUUGCUGUUCUGAUAGCAGAGAAGACAGAGCACAUUCCACAGGAGCUUCACCCCACCACCUUGUUGGGAGCAGAAAAACAAGGAGCCGAGGUCAUAACUUAGGCGCCGUGUGAGAGAAAGAAUGUGAAUGUUUAGGCUUUUACGACUAGGUGGGGGC